UAGGGAAUAUUGGGCAAUGGACGAGAGUCUGACCCAGCCAUGCCGCGUGCAGGAAGAAGGCUUUCUGAGUCGUAAACUGCUUUUGACAGGGAAGAAUAAGCUUCACGUGUGGAGUGAUGACGGUACCUGCAGAAUAAGCACCGGCUAACUCCGUGCCAGCAGCCGCGGUAAUACGGAGGGUGCGAGCGUUGUCCGGAUUUAUUGGGUUUAAAGGGUGCGUAGGCGGCUCCUUAAGUCCGGGGUGAAAGCCCGUUGCUCAACAACGGAACUGCCCUGGAUACUGAGGAGCUUGAGUACAGACGAGGUUGGCGGAAUGGACAGAGUAGCGGUGAAAUGCAUAGAUACUGUCCAGAACCCCGAUUGCGAAGGCAGCUGACUAGGCUGUUACUGACGCUGAGGCACGACAGCGUGGGGAGCGAACAGG
rnacentral:rRNA from 1 species